UACGGGGGGGGCAAGCGUUGUUCGGAAUUACUGGGCGUAAAGGGCUUGUAGGCGGCCAACUAAGUCAGACGUGAAAUCCCUCGGCUUAACCGGGGAACUGCGUCUGAUACUGGAUGGCUCGAGAUUGGGAGAGGGAUGCGGAAUUCCAGGUGUAGCGGUGAAAUGCGUAGAUAUCUGGAGGAACACCGGUGGCGAAGGCGGCAUCCUGGACCAAUACUGACGCUGAGAAGCGAAAGCCAGGGGAGCAAACGGG
rnacentral:rRNA from 1 species